rnacentral:rRNA from 1 species
AACGAACGCUGGCGGCAUGCCUAAUACAUGCAAGUCGAACGCGAUGGGGGCAACCCAUUGAGUGGCGGACGGGUGAGUAACGCGUGGGAACCUGCCCAUCGGUACGGAAUAACCUCGGGAAACUGAGGCUAAUACCGUAUGCGCCCCAUGAGGGAGACUUUGUGGGGGAAAGAUUUAUCGCCGUUGGAGGAGCCCGCGUCGGAUUAGGUAGUUCGGUGGAGGUAACGGCUCACCAAGCCUUCGGAUCCGAGCUGGUCUGAGAGGAUGAUCAGCCGACACUGGGACUGAGACACGGCCCAGACUCCUACGGGAGGCA